rnacentral:rRNA from 1 species
UGGGGAAUAUUGGGCAAUGGCCGAAAGGCUGACCCAGCGACGCCGCGUGCGGGAGGAAGCCCUUCGGGGUGUAAACCGCUGUCAGGGGGGACGAAAGAGGGCGACGGGAAUACCGUCGUCCAGUGACGGUACCCCCAAAGGAAGCACCGGCUAACUCUGUGCCAGCAGCCGCGGUAAUACAGAGGGUGCAAGCGUUGUUCGGAAUCACUGGGCGUAAAGCGCGCGCAGGCGGAUGGUUGCGUCUGGAGUGAAAUUUCGCCGCUCAACGGCGAAGCUGCUUUGGAUACGGACCGUCUGGGGACCGGUAGAGGCUGGUAGAAUUGCAGGUGUAGCGGUGGAAUGCGUAGAGAUCUGCAAGAAUACCCGUGGCGAAGGCGGCCAGCUGGGCCGGAUCCGACGCUGAGGCGCGAAAGCGUGGGGAGCAAACAGG